rnacentral:rRNA from 1 species
GUGCCAGCAGCCGCGGUAAUACGUAGGGUGCGAGCGUUGUCCGGAAUUACUGGGCGUAAAGGGCUCGUAGGUGGUUUGUCGCGUCGUCUGUGAAAUUCCGGGGCUUAACUCCGGGCGUGCAGGCGAUACGGGCAUAACUUGAGUACUGUAGGGGUAACUGGAAUUCCUGGUGUAGCGGUGAAAUGCGCAGAUAUCAGGAGGAACACCGAUGGCGAAGGCAGGUUACUGGGCAGUUACUGACGCUGAGGAGCGAAAGCAUGGGUAGCGAACAGGAUUAGAUACCCUGGUAGUCCAUGCCGUAAACGGUGGGCGCUAGGUGUGAGGGUCUUUUCACGACUUUCGUGCCGUAGCUAACGCAUUAAGCGCCCCGCCUGGGGAGUACGGCCGCAAGGCUAAAACUCAAAGGAAUUGACGGGGGCCCGCACAAGCGGCGGAGCAUGUGGAUUAAUUCGAUGCAACGCGAAGAACCUUACCUGGGCUUGACAUAUACAAGACAGGCGUAGAGAUACGUCCUCCCUUGUGGUUUGUAUACAGGUGGUGCAUGGUUGUCGUCAGCUCGUGUCGUGAGAUGUUGGGUUAAGUCCCGCAACGAGCGCAACCCUUGUCUUAUGUUGCCAGCAUUUGGUUGGGGACUCAUGAGAGACUGCCGGGGUUAACUCGGAGGAAGGUGGGGAUGACGUCAAAUCAUCAUGCCCCUUAUGUCCAGGGCUUCACACAUGCUACAAUGGUCGGUACAACGCGCAGCGACACUGUGAGGUGGAGCGAAUCGCUGAAAGCCGGUCUUAGUUCGGAUUGGGGUCUGCAACUCGACCCCAUGAAGUCGGAGUCGCUAGUAAUCGUAGAUCAGCAAUGCUGCGGUGAAUACGUUCCCGGGCCUUGUACACACCGCCCGUCACGUCAUGAAAGUUGGUAACACCCGAAGCCAGUGGCUCAAACUUGUUAGGGAGCUGUCUAAGGUGGGAUCGGCGAUUGGGACGAAGUCGUAACAAGGUA